rnacentral:rRNA from 1 species
CAGUCGAGCGGUAGCACAGAGAGCUUGCUCUCGGGUGACGAGCGGCGGACGGGUGAGUAAUGUCUGGGAAACUGCCUGAUGGAGGGGGAUAACUACUGGAAACGGUAGCUAAUACCGCAUAACGUCGCAAGACCAAAGUGGGGGACCUUCGGGCCUCAUGCCAUCAGAUGUGCCCAGAUGGGAUUAGCUAGUAGGUGGGGUAACGGCUCACCUAGGCGACGAUCCCUAGCUGGUCUGAGAGGAUGACCAGCCACACUGGAACUGAGACACGGUCCAGACUCCUACGGGAGGCAGCAGUGGGGAAUAUUGCACAAUGGGCGCAAGCCUGAUGCAGCCAUGCCGCGUGUGUGAAGAAGGCCUUCGGGUUGUAAAGCACUUUCAGCGGGGAGGAAGGCGGUGAGGUUAAUAACCUUGUCGAUUGACGUUACCCGCAGAAGAAGCACCGGCUAACUCCGUGCCAGCAGCCGCGGUAAUACGGAGGGUGCAAGCGUUAAUCGGAAUUACUGGGCGUAAAGCGCACGCAGGCGGUCUGUCAAGUCGGAUGUGAAAUCCCCGGGCUCAACCUGGGAACUGCAUUCGAAACUGGCAGGCUAGAGUCUUGUAGAGGGGGGUAGAAUUCCAGGUGUAGCGGUGAAAUGCGUAGAGAUCUGGAGGAAUACCGGUGGCGAAGGCGGCCCCCUGGACAAAGACUGACGCUCAGGUGCGAAAGCGUGGGGAGCAAACAGGAUUAGAUACCCUGGUAGUCCACGCCGUAAACGAUGUCGAUUUGGAGGUUGUGCCCUUGAGGCGUGGCUUCCGGAGCUAACGCGUUAAAUCGACCGCCUGGGGAGUACGGCCGCAAGGUUAAAACUCAAAUGAAUUGACGGGGGCCCGCACAAGCGGUGGAGCAUGUGGUUUAAUUCGAUGCAACGCGAAGAACCUUACCUGGUCUUGACAUCCACAGAACUUUCCAGAGAUGGAUUGGUGCCUUCGGGAACUGUGAGACAGGUGCUGCAUGGCUGUCGUCAGCUCGUGUUGUGAAAUGUUGGGUUAAGUCCCGCAACGAGCGCAACCCUUAUCCUUUGUUGCCAGCGGUUCGGCCGGGAACUCAAAGGAGACUGCCAGUGAUAAACUGGAGGAAGGUGGGGAUGACGUCAAGUCAUCAUGGCCCUUACGACCAGGGCUACACACGUGCUACAAUGGCAUAUACAAAGAGAAGCGACCUCGCGAGAGCAAGCGGACCUCAUAAAGUAUGUCGUAGUCCGGAUUGGAGUCUGCAACUCGACUCCAUGAAGUCGGAAUCGCUAGUAAUCGUAGAUCAGAAUGCUACGGUGAAUACGUUCCCGGGCCUUGUACACACCGCCCGUCACACCAUGGGAGUGGGUUGCAAAAGAAGUAGGUAGCUUAACCUUCGGGAGGGC